ACAAAACAAAAAAAAAACCCCAGAAUGUUUUGACUCCAAAACAUGCAGCAUUAGGUGCAGCUUCCCGUUGUCACACCUGCCUUACUCACUCCCUCGGGGCUGGCCUGAGAUGCCCAGCGGACAAAUAUUGCAGCACUUGGAAGCUGUGUGAUACCAUAACAACUUGUCCGCUCUUCUCCAUGCGCACAUCUUCUUAGACUCUUUGUCAUAAGGCAUUUUACUAUACGCGCUUAAAGACUGGGAUAGGUAAACCGCGUGGCAUGGUUGAGUGGAGGGAGUAAGCCUGGUGUCGCAGUGCCUUAGAACUGAAUGGAAAUAAUAAGUGGACUUAAAGUUGUUUUGCUGUUUCUCUAGCUUCUUCAUUCCUUCAGCGUUUAUUUAGGCACUUUUUAGACAUCACAGAUGCUCCCAGUAACACAGCUCUGUUGGUGACGUCUAGGAGCUGACGGGAAGACAGCCACAUAGAGAACAUGCAUAAUAUUUGUAUUGGAAUGUGCCCUGUGACUGCGUUUGUUGAAAAAGAUAAUAAAGAAGAGGAAACCUAACCAAUUACUGUGGAGAAAUAUGGAAGAAGAUGGAAAAAACUUGUUUAAUGGAUGCUGCCAGCUGCUGUGAUAGUGGGCUCGCCAUGGGGGAGCUUGUGCACUUGAGCAAGUCGAGAUGUGUGUCAGGUGCUACUUGGGAAUGCAGAGCAGGACUUGCAAAAAGGAUGCCUGAGAGAGAAGAUGCUGCAGUGUUGGGGCUUAUUAAUAUUACAUCCUCUUAGAGCCUUGAAUGUGCUCAGUUUCCAGUUGUGCAAGCAAGAAAGGGCUCUGAAA